GCGGGCGUGGUGGAAUUGGUAGACACGCCAGACUUAGGAUCUGGUGCCGCGAGGUGUGGGAGUUCGAGUCUCCCCGCCCGUACAA
rnacentral:tRNA from 3 species